rnacentral:rRNA from 1 species
GUAGGUGGCAAGCGUUGUCCGGAAUUAUUGGGCGUAAAGCGCGUGCAGGCGGUUCUUUAAGUCUGAUGUGAAAGCCCACGGCUCAACCGUGGAGGGUCAUUGGAAACUGGAGAACUUGAGUACAGAAGAGGAAAGCGGAAUUCCACGUGUAGCGGUGAAAUGCGUAGAGAUGUGGAGGAACACCAGUGGCGAAGGCGGCUUUCUGGUCUGUAACUGACGCUGAGGCGCGAAAGCGUGGGGAGCAAACAGGAUUAGAUACCCUGGUAGUCCACGCCGUAAACGAUGAGUGCUAAGUGUUAGGGGGGUUUUCCGCCCCCCUUAGUGCUGCGGCUAACGCAUUAAGCACUCCGCCUGGGGAGUACGGCCGCAAGGCUG